rnacentral:rRNA from 1 species
GAUGAACGCUGGCGGCGUGCCUAAUACAUGCAAGUCGAGCGAAUGGAUUAAGAGCUUGCUCUUAUGAAGUUAGCGGCGGACGGGUGAGUAACACGUGGGUAACCUGCCCAUAAGACUGGGGUAACUCCGGGAAACCGGGGCUAAUACCGGAUAACAUUUUGAACCGCAUGGUUCGAAAUUGAAAGGCGGCUUCGGCUGUCACUUAUGGAUUGACCCGCGUCGCAUUAGCUAGUUGGUGAGGUAACGGCUCACCAAGGCAACGAUGCGUAGCCGACCUGAGAGGGUGAUCGGCCACACUGGGACUGAGACACGGCCCAGACUCCUACGGGAGGCAGCAGUAGGGAAUCUUCCGCAAUGGACGAAAGUCUGACGGAGCAACGCCGCGUGAGUGAUGAAGGCUUUCGGGUCGUAAAACUCUGUUGUUAGGGAAGAACAAGUGCUAGUUGAAUAAGUUGGCACCUUGACGGUACCUAACCAGAAAGCCACGGCUAACUACGUGCCAGCCGCCGCAGUAA